GGGGGCGACCAGGUUUCGACGGAGGUAGUGGGAAAAGAUAAGCGUGCCGAGGUGCCCAGUUCCCUCGUUAAUCCAAUUGGGACACAAAUUUAAGUGCAGACUAUUCAUAUGCACUGGCUGCCUAAUUUAAAGGCGGCUCGUCUGUUCCGGGCUUGCUUGUCGGCCUGGAAACAGGCGUCGAACUAGACAAGCUGGUCUGAUCUUUUGCUCAGGGAGAUCAGGCGAGAUAUCACUGAGAUAGUGAGAGGGAAAACCUGCUGGCUGGUGUUUCCUUUCGCGAAUAAAGAAUAAACCGGCUACGCACGUAGAAAGUCUUUGUCUCGUGCCUUCGGACGGGGGUUCGAUUCCCCCCGCCUCCACUU
rnacentral:tmRNA from 1 species